UCUUCUUCUUCUUCUUCAAGCUUGGAGAAAGCUUUUGAGGUGUAUAAACGCGUCGGCGAAGAUGGUUCGACGAUUCGUCGAGUCGAUGAAGAGUUAUCGGCAAGGGGGGGCGGUCGUAGCCUCCGUUCCCGUUUGGAGGGGCGAAGCGACAUCCUAGGAGUUGUCGAGUUCCAUUCUACGAGUCGCAGCAUCGCCAACAUGGCCGAGUUUGAGCACCCCCGGUGAGGAUCGUGGUAAGGGCAUAAGCGCCCUAGUGGUUGUAGAGACCUCCUUUUGCAUUAGAGCUACCUAUGUACAUGAGUGUAGAUGAUGUAUAGGUGGUGAGCUAUUUUGGAGAGUUGUAAACCUUUAGGUUUAUUUAUUGGAAGAAUGAAAGGUAAUCAAAUGUAUUAACUGUUGAAUGUGAUGUAAUAGUUAGAAAUCUCUCUUUUGUUCACUUGUUUAUCCUCGUGACACUUGCUCUUAUUUGUUUAGCACUGGUUGUGCUCUCGCUGUUGUUGUUGAUUGUGUAUGUAUUUCAAGUUGUUUU